GACGAACGCUGGCGGCGUGCUUAACACAUGCAAGUCGAACGGAAAGGCCCUGCUUUUGUGGGGUGCUCGAGUGGCGAACGGGUGAGUAACACGUGAGUAACCUGCCCUUGACUUUGGGAUAACUUCAGGAAACUGGGGCUAAUACCGGAUAGGAGCUCCUGCUGCAUGGUGGGGGUUGGAAAGUUUCGGCGGUUGGGGAUGGACUCGCGGCUUAUCAGCUUGUUGGUGGGGUAGUGGCUUACCAAGGCUUUGACGGGUAGCCGGCCUGAGAGGGUGACCGGCGACAUUGGGACUGAGAUACGGACCAGAGUCCUACGGGAGGCAGCAGUGGGGAAUAUUGCACAAUGGGCGGAAGCCUGAUGCAGCAACGCCGCGUGCGGGAUGACGGCCUUCGGGUUGUAAACCGCUUUCGCCUGUGACGAAGCGUGAGUGACGGUAAUGGGUAAAGAAGCACCGGCUAACUACGUG
rnacentral:rRNA from 1 species